GAAUAAAAAAGCUUUUCUUAAUUUAGAUUUUUCAGCAACUUAGCACAUACGUCUUUAAAGAAACAAAAACAGAGAAAUGAAAGGCUGUGCAUAUGUUAAAAAGAAGAAAUGGCUCAUAUUUAAAUUUUCGGGAAAUAUUUUACUUUCCUGUGUAUGAAUUGGCUAACCUCACCACCACAACUAGCCACAACUCACAGCUUUAUUAUCGAAAUAAUAAGCACGUUGCUAAAGAGGUUUUACAGCCCCAAAAACAAUCACCCUUCGGACAGAUGUUUUCUCCUUUUCCCUUUGAUUUGUCUGAAAAUCUCACCUUAACUAAUCUUCUAGCAGAUGUGGUUAAGACAAAUUUUCCAAAAAAAUAAAAUAUAAUUAAAAAAAAUCUAGUGUUGUGUAAGGCUCUCACGAGAAAAUGUUCCUUUAGGUGAUCUGACAAACAGGUUUGCAUAUUGCGUUAGGUCAUUGCUACAGAAAGGGUGACACCUACUUAAAAACAUCUCUCGUAUGAAAAAUGUGGGGAUUGAUAUGAUUUAGUAAUAAUAUUGUUAGUUUUCCUACAAACACUGUUGGAGUUUAUUCACAUUAAAUUGUAAACCUACCAACUCUAUUGCUUUAUUUUGCCUUAGGUUAAUCAGGCUGUUAUAGUCCAGAGCUCUGGAAAGACCUGCUUGGCUCUUUCCAGAGCUCUCUCAGACAGAGGACCACUGCUGUUGGGAUCUUACUUCGGUUUCUCUUUCCCUCACAUUGGUUACAUUUCCUUUCUUGAUCUGUGAACCAAAUGAAAUUUUUUGGGGGGCCAAACCGUGAACUGAACAAGGUGGAGGUCCAGAAUUAAUUUCAUAUAGUUUAGCUGACCACAUUUUUUUCGCUGUGUAGAAGUCUCGAAAAUACAGAAUAAUGAAAACAUUUGACACAUUCUUGUUUACAGUAUCCAUAAGACUACAAUGACAGUUUGCAUGGAUGGACCUUUACAGACUGUGAGCGGUUCGUGAUUAAAUGAAUUGAAGAUGGAUUCCAGUUUUCCCACAUUACAGGACUUGAACAUAU